UCACCUACGGGAGGCAGCAGUGGGGGAUAUUGGACAAUGGGGGAAACCCUGAUCCAGCGAUGCCGCGUGAGGGAAGAAGGUUUUCGGAUUGUAAACCUCUGUGGAGGGGGACGAUAAUGACGGUACCCCUUUAGGAAGCCACGGCUAACUACGUGCCAGCAGCCGCGGUAAUACGUAGGUGGCGAGCGUUGUCCGGAAUUACUGGGUGUAAAGGGAGUGUAGGCGGGAAAGCAAGUCAGAAGUGAAAACUGUGGGCUUUACCCCUAGCCGGCUUUUGAAACUGUUAUU
rnacentral:rRNA from 1 species